CUCUUCUAAGGCUUAAAAAUCAAUCUAGUCCUUCUCUUUUCAAUACUAGCUCAUCACUUUUCACUCUUAAACCCAUAUUCUUUGUUCCUUUAGCAGAUACAGCUAGGUUCUUGCUGAAAAACACUGAAGACAGAAGAAAUGGAUACUGCAUUCCAUUUCUGCUUUGGUGGCUUGGACAGUUUUGCUGAAGAACACCACAGUCACUUCUGAUCCUGUCUUCUGCUUCUGAAUGUGUGGUUUGAAGAGGCCAAAUUCUGCUCACUUACACCUAGGAGACUUUCUGUUCCUCUGGAAACUUCUAUCCAAAGCUACAGUCAUGAUGAUGAUGGCAGUGCAUUGUGGCCUAGUGAAAGGAGCAUGGG